UAAGCAGAAGUUGGCCCCUUUGGCCCCCCGGGGGCUGGCGGGCGGGACCGGGGGCACGGGGUGCUUCCGGGAGGGCAAACACUGGGAAAUCUUGCGCCGGUGGGCGAAAGCGAGACCCACCCAUUCUGGGUGAAUGAUGAAGGUGUUAGGAUUGUUAAUGUUUUACACCGAGGACGAUUAUGGCGGUAGUCGGAGAAGAAGCCGCGUAUAACUUCGUGCCAGCAGCCGCGUAUAUGGGGAGGGGGCUAGCGUUGCUCGAUAUUACUGGGCGUAAAGGGAGUGUAGGCGUAUACUUUAGUGAGAGGUGAACGCUGAGGGCUCAACAGGGGAAUUGCCUUUGAUACUGGCUAUCUUGAGUACGAGAGAGGUAUGUGGUACUCCGAGUGUAGAGGUGAUAUUUGUAGAUAUUGGGAAGCACAGCAGUGGCGGAGGAGACAUAGUGCUCAUUUACAGACGGUGAGGCUCGAGAGUGUGGGGCGCACACAGGAAUAGAUACUGUGGUAGUCCACGCUGUAAAAGAUGAGUGCAAGUUGUCGGCAUGCAUGCAUGUCGGUGACGCAGCUAACGCAUUAAGCACUCCGCGUGGGGAGUACGGUCGCAAGAUUAAAACUCGAAGGAAUUGACGGGG
rnacentral:rRNA from 1 species